AAGGAGUAUGGGGACAUAAUCGCACAUACAGUCAAUGCAUAGAAAAAAUACAAAUGAUCAAUGGUCAAAGUUUGUGUUCCUGCUCUUCAUCUUGAUAGUUGCCGGAUGGUCUUCAACAAUACUUUUAAAGAAUCAUUAAUACCGUAAAAGAUCGUAAAACAAGGUGAAGAUGGUCCCUAGUGUGGACUUAAGCAGUACUAGUACUUAAAGUAUAAUACUGCAAUGUCACUAUAUCUAAAUCUAGUCAUAAAAAAAUUACCAAAGUCUAAUCACAAUACAAGACAAGAACAGACG
rnacentral:lncRNA from 1 species